rnacentral:lncRNA from 1 species
GAGGAAAAGAGAAGGAUGAGAGGACAUUACUGUCUGAUAGGGAGUUCAGUGCGAGAUGGAGCUUCAGGAGUUAGGAGGAGCCCAGGACGAGGUGGAGUUUCAAGUGAAGGUCAGUCGGGCACGAGAUGGAAGACUCGGGAGGAUGAGAGGCGAUAUCACAGGAUGAGAUUUCUAUUGCUGCAAGAGGAUAUCUCGAGCAGG